GCAGUCGACGUGCCUUCGGGCAAGUGGCAGACGGCUGAGUAACGCGUGAGUAACACACCCUUCGGUGGGGUAUAGCCUCGGGAAACUGAGGGUAAUCCCGCAUACGAUCCUUUCCCCCUGGGGAAAGGAUGAAAGCCUUCGGGCGCCGGAGGAGUGGCUCGCGUCCUAUCAGGUAGUUGGUGAGGUAACGGCUCACCAAGCCUAUGACGGGUAGCUGGUCUUAGAGGACGAUCAGCCAGAGGGGGACUGAGACACGGCCCCCACUCCUACGGGAGGCAGCAGCAGGGAAUUUUGGGCAAUGGACGAAAGUCUGACCCAGCGACGUCGCGUGGGGGAUGAAGGCUCUAGGGCUGUAAACCCCUUUUCCGAGGGAAGAGGAAGGACGGUACCUCGGGAAUAAGCACCGGCUAACUCCGUGCCAGCAGCCGCGGUAAUACGGAGGGUGCGAGCGUUAAUCGGAAUUACUGGGCGUAAAGCGCACGCAGGCGGUUUGUUAAGCUAGAUGUGAAAGCCCCGGGCUCAACCUGGGAUGGUCAUUUAGAACUGGCAGACUAGAGUCUUGGAGAGGGGAGUGGAAUUCCAGGUGUAGCGGUGAAAUGCGUAGAUAUCUGGAGGAACAUCAGUGGCGAAGGCGACUCCCUGGCCAAAGACUGACGCUCAUGUGCGAAAGUGUGGGUAGCGAACAGGAUUA
rnacentral:rRNA from 1 species